rnacentral:tRNA from 1 species
AUUUAGCAAUCAUUAGCCUAGUGGACAUGGCAUCUGCCCGGUAAGCGGAACACAGUGGGUUCGAUUCCCAUCCCUGGACA